rnacentral:rRNA from 1 species
GCGGAUCAGCAUGCCGCGGUGAAUACGUUCCCGGGCCUUGUACACACCGCCCGUCACACCAUGGGAGUCGGUAACACCCGAAGCCAGUAGCCUAACCGCAAGGAGGGCGCUGUCGAAGGUGGGAUUGAUGACUGGGGUGAAGUCGUAACAAGGUACC